rnacentral:rRNA from 1 species
GAGCUCAAAUUUGAAAUCUGGUAGCCUUCGGUUGCCCGAGUUGUAAUCUAGAGAAGUGUUUUCCGUGCCGGCCCAUGUACAAGUCCCUUGGAACAGGGCGUCAUAGAGGGUGAGAAUCCCGUCCUUGACAUGGACCCCCGGUGCUUUGUGAUACACUUUCAACGAGUCGAGUUGUUUGGGAAUGCAGCUCAAAAUGGGUGGUGAAUUCCAUCUAAAGCUAAAUAUUGGCGAGAGACCGAUAGCGAACAAGUACCGUGAGGGAAAGAUGAAAAGCACUUUGGAAAGAGAGUUAAACAGUACGUGAAAUUGUUGAAAGGGAAACGAUUGAAGUCAGUCAUGCUCUUAGGAUUCAGCCGUUCUGCGGUGUAUUUCCUUUGAGUGGGGUCAACAUCAGUUUUGAUCGAUGGAUAAAGGCACGAGGAAGGUAGCACUCUCGGGUGAACUUAUAGCCUCGCGUCAUAUACAUUGAUUGGGACUGAGGAACGCAGCAUGCCUUUAUGGCCGGAUUCGUCCACGUACAUGCUUA